CGGUCAGUUAUUAUUAGUCGUUCGUUUGGAACAGACAAAAUCCCCGAAAAGUUCUCCAUUGGUGUAACAGUGCGCAUAUUUUCUGGAAUUCCGAAUUCAAUAAAAGCUUCAAGUAAAUUUCAUUUCUGUUGCAAAGUCUUAGUGGUGCAGUAUUAGCAGUACCCUUCACAACAACAAGCAUCGAAAAUGAAUGAGACACGAAGCUUGAUGACCACAUUCGUCAUUUUGGCUGCUCUCCUACUGAUAUUAUAUGCAUUCUAUGUCAGCGUAGCAUCGUAAUAACUUUAAGGACUCAUAAACUAAGAAGACAAAAAAUAUUUACGGAAGAUGACGUAAGUUCGAGGAAAAUAGAUGAUCUUCUCCAUCCGUGAGGCAAAGAAAAGCUGAAUUACAAUCGUUCCGAAAUGGCUAGCCAUGUGUUUUUCUUUGCU